CUGAAGUCAGUAAGGAGUUAACUUCAAACAGUUUGCUAGAACAAGGUAAUUGGACAAGCGGGGAUUUAGAUCUGAAACAGGUGAAAAUGUAGUUUGCUUUAAUUGAUGGCUAAUUAACUGCAAUUAGCACUUGGUAAACAGGUGCCCUUAGCCCUGCAAAAAGGCAGAGGGAUAGUGUUUUGGCUGCCUUAUGCGUUUUAGGACUGUGAAGGGCUUAGAGAAGCUUCCUGAAAUGGAGAAGACAUUUCUCAUGCUGAGCCACAGGAAGUUGAUGCUGAAUUUCAGUAACAGCAGAUGUUACAAGGAUGCUAUCAAAAUUCUGAGGCAAAUGGGCUCUUCGUGACCAGCUUCAAGCAGAGCCCCAGCAUCUUCUCCAUGUGUUUUCUUCUCAUGUCUCAAGGCAGCAGCUCACCUUCAUCUGAGUUUACCCUUUCUCCUCAUUCUGUUUAAUCUCGUGAGGGGAGCAGCUGUAUAUCUGCCCUGCAACUGGCUUUUGCAGAGCAGAAAUAUUUGACCUUUGUAAUGCAUGAGAUCGCAGAGACAGCACAUGCUUUAAGAUACACCUCUAGUCUGAUCUGCAAGGGCUUGAAUUCACCACUGCCCUUUGUGUGCAUCAGCAAGAUCAGUCCUGACUACAGUGAAUUCUGCAGGAUCCUCAAAGGUUGUCAAAACCUAGGACUGGCUCUGUGCUGUGUUCCUGGCUCCUAGAGUGAUAUUGUGAUAGCUUUUCUUCUUUCUUUAUAUAUGGGAUACAUCCUCAGCUCCUGCAGGACGGAGGUAUAAGACUCUUCUUUUGCUGUUGUUCGUAGCUUAUAUUUGCACACAAUGUCCUUUGGACAGGCCAGUGUUAACUUGCUGUUAGGAGCCUCUGUUGUAUGAAAAUCUUGUGACUUAUGCACUGCUGUGAACAUGUGGGCACCAAUGCAGAUAAGCAUGGUGUGACUACUCAGAAAACAGGGCAUUACAGCUGACACAGCGUGGGAGUGGGGUCACCAUUUAACACAAGCACACAGAAUAAAGUGAGGGGCUCAGUCAUCCUGAUUAGGGAUAGAUCUUUCCCAAACUAGGAUAUGCUAUUGACUUCUGAUAUUGUGUCUACCCUGCUGAAUAACAGUCAGUCAUCUCCCAGCAAGUUCUCCUUCACCUCCAGUGUCACAAAAGAGACAAGGCACCAUUUCCCUAUGAACCUUUAGCAUACAGAUGGUGGUGAAAAAAGGAAAUAACAUGGCAGAUGCUUGCUUAGCCUGGAGAGGACUAUGCCCAUCAUCACCUGAGUCAGAAACUAACAGUGUGUAUUCUGGGACUUAAGCCCCCCUCUCCCCAAAAUGUGAAGCUUAGUAGAGAGAUCCCAGAGGUAGGAUCUCUCCACAAUGUAAAUGUGCAUUUUCCAAUGGAUAAACAAAAUAUUUAGCAAAGUUUCUAAGUAUUUUUUCUUAAUAUUUUAGCUGAUACAAGGAUUGUUUCAUUGGAAAUUGUUUUGUAUCCUAGCUGUUCCCCUCAGGGAUGAGCAAAUAUGGACUGAAAACAUGACUGACUGGAGAGAGAGCUUUUUCAUCCUGAUUGGCUUGGGCUGUGAUUUUGACUGACUUUACAGACUAAGGGAUAAGAUAGUUGGUACUUGUAGGCACAUUUGAUCUUUCUUGCCAAGAGGACAUGCUGCCAUUCUGAUAAGGAAAAGUAAUGCCAAGUUACUUCACCAUUCACACAACUCAAAUCUGUUUCUGCAAGCAGUUUGCCAGAUUGUGAUACAGAUCAAUAUAGCCUCUUUACUAAUCCCUAGCUGAGGGCCAUUUCAUUUGCACUUGGUGUCUGUGUAGUCUGAGGUGAGUGGGGGGGUUCUUUGCACUGCCGAAGAUUUGCUGCAAGGCAUCAUGAGAGAUGGCUAUUGCACUGCUGGGUAAAAAAUCCUAAACAUAUGCAAUGUGCUGUAGAGCACUAAGGCAUCCCUUGAAAAGUAAUGAAAAAUGGACUACUAAUUAUUGUUCAUUAUUGUGGAUGCAAAGCUUGUGAGCCAAGUUUAAUUAAAUACAAUGAAGAGCUGUCCCAUUUCAA